CUCCAAUUCGAAUUGUUUGACUUUUCCUCUCAUGUCGUAUAUCUCCUGUUGCAUCAAUUGCUGAAACACACAAGAGAGUCAUUAUGGAACGUACCAAAACAUAAAUUUGGCAUGUCUUCGUGCUAAUGCUAAAUGGUGGUGCAUCAUAAAAACGUGGCUGUGAACAACAGUCUGGGUGGUCUCGCAAGAACAGUGAAAUGAGAUUGAAUCGUCACUCCAGAAUGAAAAAUUUUGAUCGUCAUAUUCGAGGUUAAAAAAACACUUUGGCGACGUUGAUUACUCACGACAUUGUCGACAGCUCGUCUCAUCGCAGCGACACUUUCAAUCGCUUGAGUUAUCUUCGUGCCCAUUUCCGUAGCUUCGAUAUCACGUUUUCUACCUCGAGCUAUUUGUUUCUCCAGCUUAGCAAGUCUCUUUAGUAUUAUAUCGUAAUCUCGAUUGAGAUUCCCUUCGCUCACCUCGUUCUCCGUGUCUACAAAAACAAACGGAGAGAAUGAAAAAUAAAUAAACAAACUUCAAGUCA